rnacentral:rRNA from 1 species
CAGUGGGGAAUCUUAGACAAUGGGGGAAACCCUGAUCUAGCCAUGCCGCGUGAUCGAUGAAGGCCUUAGGGUUGUAAAGAUCUUUCAGGUGGGAAGAUAAUGACUGUACCACCAGAAGAAGCCCCGGCUAACUCCGUGCCAGCAGCCGCGGUAAUACGGAGGGGGCUAGCGUUGUUCGGAAUUACUGGGCGUAAAGCGCACGUAGGCGGAACAGAAAGUCAGAGGUGAAAUCCCAGGGCUCAACCUUGGAACUGCCUUUGAAACUCCUGUUCUUGAGGUCGAGAGAGGUGAGUGGAAUUCCGAGUGUAGAGGUGAAAUUCGUAGAUAUUCGGAGGAACACCAGUGGCGAAGGCGGCUCACUGGCUCGAUACUGACGCUGAGGUGCGAAAGCGUGGGGAGCAAACAGGAUUAGA